rnacentral:lncRNA from 1 species
GUUUUCACGAUUAUAGAUUAUGUUGUAAGCAAACAGGGGAAGAAAAUACUUGGUUCAACUUCAAAUAGAGCAGUAAAAAUAAGUUAGUUCAAAUUAGUUCACAUACAACUCUUGGGUAGCAAUUAAAAGCUGCCGAGGCCACUGCAAUCCAUUAACGCAUACACAAAUCUAAAGGAGGAGAUAAAAGACGAAGCGCGGAGUACUCACUUGUCAGCCAGCGAGCCGAAAGAUAGCAGAAAAGCGAAGCCGGAAAGACAAACCCAAGCGGAACAGAGCAUCUUUCAAAUAUUAUUGGGUUGCCACAGGUCAUUCGUCAAAACACAGAAGUAACAGACCUAGAAAAAUAGCUCACAGCUUCCAAACCAAAGAGACCAAGAGGCGCUUAUCUAUAAGAGAGAAAGAGAGCGCGAAGGAAAAGGUCAAAAACCGCCGUUUGUAGACAACACAAAGUCGGCAGGGUAAUUAAAAAAUAGAAAGAUUUAAAUACCUCUACUUUCUAUGCUAAAAAGGGACUUAAUCGUAAUGUAGAAGUAGGACAACGAAAGCCCCAACUCCCGCUUCUAAAUAAUAGUAAUAAUAAAGUUUAAGAUGGGUAAAACCGGGUUUUUUUUAUAGCUUUUAUAGGUAAUUGCAUUAUUCUGAUGGUAAGCAACCCCCACUUCCAACAGAGAGGUUGUGAGUUCGAGUCUCCCCAAGAGUANNNNNNNNNNNNNNNNNNNNNNNNNNNNNNNNNNNNNNNNNNNNNNNNNNNNNNNNNNNNNNNNNNNNNNNNNNNNNNNNNNNNNNNNNNNNNNNNNNNNNNNNNNNNNNNNNNNNNNNNGGGAAGGAUGUCGGGGUCUAUUUGGAAACAGCCUCUCUAUCCAAGGGUAGGGGUAAGGUCUGCGUACACACUACCCUCCUCAGACCCCACUAAGUGGAUUAUACUGGGUUGUUAUUAUUGCAUUAUUUCCUCAAUAGAUAUCUAAGUUUUGGGAGAAUUGGUUCCCAAAGCUGCUGAUUUUAGAUAGAAGUUAUAAACUUAAUUAAAGUAUUAGGAAAGCUCUAAAAGAUAGUAAACACUUCCAUAUGGUAAAAUAUUACGACAAUUAUAAAAAAGAACAUUUUUAAGUAGCUGCUAAGUUUGGAUUUUAGUCAUGAACACAAUAAAAGUAUUAGUGAAGCUAUAAAGCACAGUAAACUUGGCCCGUAUAAGUAAGAUUCUUUCUAGGAGACGUGUUUCAUACAAGACUUAUAAUUAUUUCAGCUACUUCCUGCAAUCACACUGAAAUACAAAUUUCAAAACACCAUAUUAGCAAUCUCGGGAUUAGUUAUUCUGGGAUUAGUUAUUCCACCCUCCCAAAGGAUAAAAAAAAUACUACAAUCCCGCGAUAACUAAUCCCGGAAUUAGUUAUACCGCAAUUUUAUCCCAACCAAACAUGGGAUAAACUCAUCUCAAAUUUGAUCACGGAAUUAAUCAUCCCUUAUCCCUUGUACCAAACGAGCCCUAAGAAAACAAAACAAAUAUAGGAAACUAUUUAAGUGAUCCAUUAAACUGAAUGGAUCAGAACAAAAAUAAUAAUGAAAAAAAGAAGUAAUACUAUCUGUAACAAGUUAACUUUUGAUCCUCCAUAUUCACAGUAUGUUGCUCAAUGAAGUGAAUCUAGGUAAAGCUGCGAUGUUAAUUCAUUAAAACCUAGAUGUUUCAAACUCUUGGUCUAGGUAGGAAAACUUCACCAGACUUGAGGAUUUUUUCUCAUUUGUUUGCACAUUGAAGUAGAGUAGGCUGAUAAUCAAACAAAUCGCAUACAAGAUGAGCCUCAGGACAAUCCAACUAGAGAAAAAGAGGCUGAGCCUCAGGUCAUCCAGGUAGAGAAAAAGAGGCACUACUUUCUAUAAUGCACUGGGAAUCAAUCCUCACGAUCAUCAGUAUACUGCAUCACAAACCCUUCAAAAGAAUCUGAACUCAAUAGACUACCAUAUAUUGAAAUCAUGAGAUGGGUAACUCUCCACUUUAGUGUUGAUUUCAGCCAUAUGACUUUUGAGAUGUUUUUUUGCUCAAGGUAGGAAAAAUGCGACAUUCAGGCAAGAGAGUUUAAAGGAGAAAACCUGUCAGAAAGAAGAUUUCCCAAUGCUCAAUUCACUGGUGGAAACACUCGUGAAAAGGGAGAAAUAACAGCCUCUGGCACAUAUAUUUUAGAGUUGCUGGGAUCAGGGGCCCAACGUAUCUCACUCAUGUUUGGUGUCUCCACGUAGGCCAUGGUAAACUCUCCUACCUUUUCUGCCUUGCCUCGCUUACCUGCCCUUAGCAGUAGAUUGUUGCGGUUAUAAGAGAAGAUGCCAUUUUCUAACCAGAUAAUGUCCCCAGGCUCAAAAGCAUCACACUCAUCACCCCACAUCUGAAAGUGAACUGCAGCUGUCUCAUCCGCCACUAGUGCCAAACACAUCUUUUGUUGCCCUUCCAAAGCUAUCCUCCCUUUGUCCACGACAAUGAAUUUUGUGUUUAUAUUGUUCAAUGCAGCCGGUACAAUGUCUUUCAGAGGCAGCAUCCUUUUGCAUUGCGACACAAUAUCUGCAACCAAAGAUUUCCAAAUUGCCCUAAUAAUUAGACACAAAGAAACUCUAGAAAAGUAAACUAUCUAGCGCACUCUUUUUUCAUCAAGAAAGUGGUAAAUGUAGUUUUUGUUUUGUUUUAUCAUUUCUCACCAUUUGCUGGUAGUAUUUGCUAAAACUGCAUGCUUUUGCACUGUGACACAAUAUCUGCAACCCAAGAUUUCCAAAUUGCCUAAGAAUUAGACACAAAGAGAAUCUAGAAAAGUAAACUUUCUCAUUUCAAUCAACAAAGUGGUAAAUGUAGAUUUUUUCUUAAUUUUAUCAUUUCUCACAAUUUAUCGGUAGCAUUUGCUAAACUAUACUAAUUGUAUAUGUAUAUAGUCUCUCAGGAAGGGACACCUUUUCUUAUAACUUUGUUGGCAUUUCACUAUUAGCGAUAAGAUUUGAACCCAUGACGUGCUCCUAACAACGCAUCACGCACUGGAGUAAAUUUUCAGAAAGUUUAGUUUUUUUUUUUUUUUUUGAUAAGUAAGUUGCUUCAUUGAAAGGCAUCAAGCUGAUGCAAUGACUACAAAAAUAGAUAUGCUAACUCCAUUACAAGAUGUGAUGAUGGGAUCUUGGAGAUAGCCAAAACAAGAAACUAUACCUCAAAGAGGCCAGUAAGAGUAAGGGAGCUCAAAAAAUCUAAAAAGACAGUAGAACUAUUUACAUAUGACUUUGGCCCAACAAAAAAGACCAAGUAGACAUUUGGCCUUCAGCAAGUGAAUUGGAGUUGAGACUCCAUCAGAACAUCUGAUGUUUCUUUCAUUCCAUAGGCACCAAAAAAUGCAAGCUGGUAUCAUCCUCCAGGUGUCCCUGAUGGCCCUAUCAACUCUCCAAAGGCUACAGCUCUCGACCGCAUCUCUAGUAUUCUGUGGCAUCACCCAUUUGAGAUUAAAAAGAGCUAGAAACAUCUGCCACAUAUCUGCAGCUACAACACAGUGUAAUAGUAGAUGAUUGACUGAUUCUAAGCUUCCUUGACAUAGGUAGCAUCUGUUAACAAGCUGGAAGCUUCUCAUACAGAGAUUGUCCUGAGUCAGACAAGCAUUCUUUAGUGCCAACCAACUGAAGGACAUCACUUUUGGAGGGAGCUUUGUUUGCCAAAUUAGUUUCGAAGGCCAGGAAUCUAAAAUUCCGUUAUGAGCAACUAGCACUUUAUACCCCAGCUUUACUGUAUAUUCCUUUGCACUGGGACCCCAGCUUAAUGUAUCUGUAGCUUGUGAGUUCAUGCUAAAACCUUCAAGUUUACUCAUUAAGUCAAAAAGACUCUCUAGUACCCAAUUAUGCAUGUUCCUUCUGAAGAGGAGAUUCCACUGAUUACCUUCUCUGUUCUGUGCGACUGUGGAGUCAGGGUUACAUGCUAUCAGGAAGAGUGACGGGCAUAAUCUUUCAAAAUGAAGUUCCCUACCCACCUAUCCUUCCAGAAUUUAACUUUCAGACCAUUUGUAACCUUGAAUGAGACUUCUUGGAGGAAUUCUUCCCAAAGCUUGCUUGUAUGUUUCCAUGGUCCAACUCCAUAUGGGGUUCUGCUUUGUUUAGUGCACCAGUGAUUUAGUUUUCCAUGUUUUGCUGCAACAACUUCCUUCCAUAAGCUAUUGUCCUCCCUUCCAUAUCUCCAGAGCCAUUUAUACAGCAGGCUCUUGUUGUGCUUAGCUAGGUCCCUGAUACCCAAACCCCCUUGUAGCUUUGGCCUAAUGACUUUAGACCAUUUGACAAGGUGAAACUUGUGUCCCUCAUUGUUGCCCUCCCAGAGAAAGUUUCUUCUGAUUUGAUCCAAUUGCUUCAAUACCUAACCAGGCACCGGAAAUAGUGACAUGGAGUAUGUGAGAGUACUGUACAUAACACUAUUAAGAAGAGCAAGUCUACCACCCAAAGAAAGGUUUGCCUUUGCCAAAUAGCCAAACUUUUCUCCACCUUUUCUAUUACCCUACUCCAUAUUCCAGUAGACUUAUAUUUUGCCCCCAAAGGAAGCCUUAGGUAAGUGGUGGGGAAGGAGCCCACGCUACAGUAUAAUAAGUCGGCCAUUUCAUGGAUAUGAGGGACCUCAUUCACAGGAUAUAACACACUCUUGAGCAUAUUGAUAUGUAGGCCUGAAAUUGCUUCAAAAAAUAAAGAGAGUAAGAUUGAGGUGUUGCACUUGAGAUCAAUCAGCGCCAGAAAAGAUCAAGGUAUCAUCUGCGUAGAGUAGAUGGGAAACUGAAGCUGAGCUAUCUAUGUUGUUUCUAAUGAUAAAACCCUCAAACCACUGUAGUUGUUUGGCUUUGUCUAACAUCUUAUUAAGACCCUCCAUAGCUAGAAUAAAGAGAAAGGGGGAGAGGGGAUCUCCCUGCCUAAUGCCUUUCUGUGGAGAGAGAAAACCCACUAGACUCCCGUUAACCAGAACUAAGUAUUUUCAUGUUGUACUUAAUCCAUUUAAUCCACCUGCCUCCAAAACCCAUUUUCCUCAACAUAUGUAAAGAUAGGACCAGUUGACUUGAUCAAAAGCUUUUUCAAUAUCUAGUUUGCAUAAAAUGCCUGGCUCUCCAGUUUUGAGCUUCCAAUCUAAAGCUUCAUUAGCUAUCAAAACAGCAUAUGUGAUUUGUCUAGACUUAAUGAAGGCAUUCUGCUGCCCGGAAAUCAGCUUUCCAAUGACUUUUUUGAGUCUUUCAGCAAGGCAUUUGGCAACAAUUUUGUGAACACUGCUAAUGAAGCUUAUAGGUCUGUAGUCUUUGAGUUCAAUUGCACCCUUUCUUUUUGGGAACAAGUGCAAUAAAAGAAGCGUUGUUAGACCUGACCAUAUAGCAGUGUUGGUGAAAGUGGUUCAAAGCUCCUACAACAUCAUUUUUGAUGAAUUCCCAAGCCUUUUGAUAAAAAUCCAUGGUAUAACCAUCUGGCCCCGGGGCUUUAUCAGGGCACAAGCAUUUAUUGCAUUUAUUGUUGCAAAAAUUUCCUCUUCUUCAAAAGCUCUCUCUAACCAUUCUUUCUCUUCCAGAGAGAUGCAUGCUAGAUCUUCAAAGGUAGCAGUUGGCCCGCAUUACUCAUUAUCAGUGUAAAGGUUCUGAUAAAAAUCAAGAAUUUCACUUUUGAUGUGAUGUUUAUCUUCAAUGAUCUCAUCUCCCACCAUCAAUUUAUUGAUAUGGUUGUUUCUCCUACGUGAGUUAGUAGCCCUUGGAAAUAUUUCGUGUUCCUGUCACCCUCUUUAAGCCACUUACAUCGGAAAAGUAUGAUCUUCUUAUUUGGCCAACCUGAAUUCCCCUUGAAAUGUCCAUUUCAUCCUUUUAACUAACUUUAUAAUAUAUAUGGAUAUAGUACGCUUAUACCUAAUUCUACCUUUAAAAUUUCGCAAGAACGCUAAAUAUACACCUUUUGUUUAAUUAGACUUCUUAAUCUAAAUAUAACGAGCUGAAAAUAGGUCAACCUUCAAACUAUGAAAUAUCUAGGGAAGCAUUUCGUAUUAUUUAGAUGAGAUUUAUCAUGUUCAGCUAUAAAUCUUCAUUUCUUGUUUGACACUUUUUGUGCCUUCAAAAUAUAUGUUCCAAGUGUGAGUUACCAUAUCUUCAAUAUCAUGCGAACAGGAUAUUGACUCCCUUUCCUUUUUACAGAUAGUCUCCAAUUUACCUUUUAACAUAAGUACAGAAGUAAUUAAGCAACUUCUUCCCAUGGGUGAUAUUUUCUCAGAAGUAGUUCUGUUACUCUAGGUUUGUAUUGUCAGCUUAGAUGCACCUCCAUAUCAAUUACUCACCAAUGCCAACAUUAGAUAGCAAGAAAGAUAUAUUGAUAUUAAUGGUUGCCCUUAGUUCUCCUUCCUUUAUGAUUUUUUCCUUCAACUGAGCAACAUAUAAUGUAUCAGAGACUGUUGGCUGUUCUGAGUGUUGUCAUACUUUUUCACAAUCUGUACAUCUUUGGUCUUGUUUAGAAUUUACUGGUUAGAUCGUCUUUGCCCAAGUGUGAACUGCAGACGAUAUAGAAAAUAUCUAACCAGUUUAAGCUAUGGUGUCCAAAGAAUGUACCUCAAUCAACGACAGAACAGUUUAGGAAAGCUAAAUAAAUGCUGAAAAGAUGAUCGAAAUUCAGCAGAGCAGGUUCAACAGAGAAACACUUACGGAUUUGAAGAAGCAACAACAAACAAAAAUAAAGCUAAAACCCAACAGCCAGCAAAACAAACUAAUUCUAUGUAACUCUUAAUAAGACAAGCGAUCUGAUAUCCAAAAAUUUAAUCAGCUAUCAAAACGAGCAUCUCAAACUAUUCAAAGACUCUUCUACGCGAUGGCAUUAGCAUGCUCUUGCAAUCCUAGGCCACGAUCAGUGCAAAUACACAUCGAAACAAACACUCGAAGUAAGAGUUUCAUCCGCAGAAUCUAACAGCCACUAAGGUGCAAUGACAAACCAACACGAAAAAUUCAUAUAAACUCAAUAAAUCUGAAAGGGAGAAACCAAUGAAAUAGAAAUGAACCUGAAAUUUAUAUGAACUGAAAUGAAGCAAUAAUUACAGCUGGACAUGACGCGGUUGUAAACAGAAUCAUCACAAAUCGAAAUAGAAUUUCGGACUUAACCUUCAACAGCGUAGUCGGAUACUGACUCGUCUUCUCAAACGGUCCUUGGUUUGAAUCCACCAAAUUUUAAUCACAAGAAGGUUAAACAACUCGAUGAUUCCUGCCCAAAAUUCUCAGCGACAUUUGAACUUGGAAUCACGAACCAGAAUCAGAACAACAAACCACACCUCGAACAAAACUUCAACUCGUAUUCAUCAGUGACCUUGACAAUCAAUUUACCAUCAGAAUGUCUAAAACUUCUUUAGAUUAAAUUGUUCAAAACGAUUACAAGCAGAAGAAGACUUGGCGACACACUUGAAAUAAAAAACAACUACUAAAGAUCGGGAUUCAGCAAGAACCGCGACCAAAACUGAUUACAAGCAGAAGAAGACUUGGCGAUACACUUGAAAUGAAAACAACUACUAAAAAUCGAGAUUCAGCAGGAACCACGACCAAAACUCAACAGCGAACUCGAAUCGGCAUCGACUGACUGAACUUUACAUGAAAAACUAUAUGAAUCGACAAAAUCUUCAUGAAAUCGCGAAAUUCCCGUUUGUUUCUACCUUUGUUUUCAGUCUUUGAAGGGUUAUGUUUCUAAAUCCAAAAUACAAUUCGAAUUCACUUUGGUUCUCUUCGACAGUGAGUGAAGAACAUGCGAGGCCUACAGUCUCUGAAGGUGAAUUUCCGACGUGUGACUCUGCGUGUGGGGGGCGUUUUGUUGAGAAGAUAAAGCCAGGAACGGGUCCUCUUCAAGCUGCGCAGCCCUCUCCUAUUCUCUUUCAACUGGGUUUUUGGGUGUUGUGUCGGGUUGGGUCCAUCCGGUUUGGGUUAUAUUAUAUAUAUAAGUGUAUAAUAUAUAAGGUAUAUUCUAUAUAAUAUUAGAUAUAUUAAAAAAUACAUAUAUAUAUAUAUAUAGAGAAAGAGAUAGAUGUAUAUAUAGUACAUUAUAAUAUAUCGAAUAUAGCUUAUAUAUAUAUAAAUAAUAUUAAAUAUUGUUUAUUUAAAAUCUCUUUAUUAUCACAAUAUAUUAUUAAAUUUAUAUUUUAAUUCGUAUAAAAGCAUUAAUUCACGGUUGGCUAAUAAAAUAUACAAAAAAGAUUGUCUUAUGAGAGAAACAAAAAAAAAUUCAAACGUUCAAACAGAAUUCAGUCGGAAAUUUAAAAAUAUUUUAUAAAUAAUUGUUUUAGUAUAUUAAGUAGAAGCUCGACCAAAUAUUAGACCACUUUAUGACCAAUUUCAAUCGAAAAUUUGGUAAAUUAUUAAUAAAUAAUUGUGUUCGUACAUAAAAUGUAGAUUGACCAAAUAUUUGACUAAUCUCCUACCGAAAUCCUCGAAUUAUCAUUCACCUCGUCGCAGCAGUAACAACAGCCGUCACCGGUGGUCAAUUCCGACGACUAUGGUAGUGUAAUUAUCAUUCUAUAAGCUAAAUGUCGCUAAUACAUUUCUACAUAAUGUAAUUAUCAAUUUAUAGUACAAUCGAGCCUAACAUUACUUAAGGAUACGACUAAUGCAGUUCUACUUAGGUUAUUAUCAAUUCAUAAAUUAUUCAAUAAUUAAUAUUUCUCAAGGAUACUUACACUUCUACUUAGUUUUAUUAUCAACGUAAUUAUCAAUUUAUAAGAUAAACAAUCAUUACUACAUAAUAUAAUGUAGUAUAUAUCUAAGUGUAUAGUAUAUAAGGUAUAUACGAUAAAACAUUAGAUAUAUAUAACGUAUAUAUAUAUAUAUAUAUAUAUAUAUAUAUNNNNNNNNNNNNNNNNNNNNNNNNNNNNNNNNNNNNNNNNNNNNNNNNNNNNNNNNNNNNNNNNNNNNNNNNNNNNNNNNNNNNNNNNNNNNNNNNNNNNNNNNAGAGAGAGAGAGUAUAGUAUAGUAUAUCGAAUAUAGCUUAUAUAUAUAAAUAAUAUUAAAUAUUAUUUAUUUAAAACCUCUUUAUUAUCGCACAGUAUUAUUAAAUUUAUAUUUUAAUUCAUAUCAAAGCAUUAAUAAUCGGUUGGUUAAUUAAAUAUACACAAAUUUUGUCUUAUGAUAAAACAAAAAAAUUCAAACGUUCCGACUGAAUUCAGUCGGAAAUUUAGAAAUAUUUUAGUAAAUAAUUAUUUUUGUACAUUAAGUAGAAGCUCGACCAAAUAUUUGACCACUUUCUGACCAAUUACGGUCGAAAAUUUGGUAAUAUGUAGAUUGACCAAAUAAUUGACUAAUCUCCGACCGACAUUGGUCGGAUUUUUUUUUUUUGAUUUGAUAUAAUUAUUAAAUAUUUUUAUUUAAAAAUCUCUUUAUUAUUUACACACAAGUAUUAUUAAAUUUUUAUUUUAAUUUGUAUAAAUCAUUUUUCCGACCGAAUUCGGUCGGAAAUAUUGAUUUAUGAUUAUUACAUCUUUUUUGUGUUGCGCGGAACAACAAAAUUCAAAUUUUCGACCGAAAUCGGUCGGCAAUUUAGAAAAAAUUUAAUAAGUAUUAUUUUGGUUCAUUAUAUACAAGGUUGGCUAAAUACUUGACUACUUUCCGACCUGGUCGGAAACUUGAAAAACUAUUAAUAAAUAAUUAAUUUUGUAUAUUAUGACCAAUUUCCGACCGAAAUGGAUUGGAAAUUUGAAAAAGUUUUAAUAAAUAAUUGUUUGUGUACAUUUUAUAAUUGGUUGACCAAAUAAUGACCAGUUUCCAACCGAAAUCGGUCGAAACUUUGGAAAAAAUUUAAUAAAUAAUUAUUUUUGUACAUUAUAUAGGUGUUUGACUAAAUAUUUGACCAAUUUCUGACCGAAAUCGGUCGAAAAUGUUAUUUUUUUAUGCUGGCAAGAACUUUAUGUUGACUUUUGCGAUUAAUUUCUUUUCUUUCUAUCCGAUUUUGGUCGGACAUAUUUUCGACCAAUUUCGGCCGGAAAUCUUUGAACGAAAAUCACCUGAUUUAUAGUAGUUUAACAAUUUUUAGAAGCUCAUAGUCCAAGAAAUUUGAAUCACAUACAUGGUGAUUUUUUUGGUGCAAGUCGUAACUGAGAUAUAAAGUCACGAUUCAACCAUCUGCUCCAACUGUAUGCGGUCAUACCAGCUCAAUAUGCUGGGACAAACAGAACUUUCACAGAACAAACUCUCCUUAGCUUAUCUAUAGAACUUACUGUUGCGCAAGCAAUGGGUACUCAUACGAAAUUACGAAUAUUCUAAGCAUUUCAUCAUUGAAGCGAUGGAGAUUCAAUAACUGAAUGAGGCACGUUAGCUUAUUCACGGGGAGACAGAGAAUAUCAGGGGAAUUGCAGAACAAAGCACAAAGAGAACUCACACUGAUAAAACUGGUCUGUCUUCAAACUCAUCCUAAUCCUUGUCCACCUUUAAUGUUAGUUGAUGAAGAACCUUGCCAUCGACAACAAAAAAUCAUCGUAAGCAAUAUAUUAUAAAUAAUUUCACUAUGCUUACAAAUGGUAUAUAAACAAUGAUCGUUACCGUAUAUAAGCGGUUUAUGAAUCACACAUGGAGAGCAAUUGCUAAUUCACGCCAACUCUCUUAUCUCCAUGCUAUGUAUCCUUAAAAAUAUGGUGAUCUCCCUCAAGUUUCUGUACUGAAAGAGCCAAGAAGUACGAAUUAUAAAAAACAACAACUUAGUGGGAUCCAACAAAGAAGUACGAAUUAUCAUUUGCCAAAUAUCUGAUAAUUCAAGUAAAACAUUAGAAUACGUAUUGGUAUAUCCAUUCAUUUUUGUUCUUAGCUAAGGCCAGAUGAAUUUCAAAAGACAGACUUCUCUCUUAGUAAUUUUAUAUCAAUCUCGUUCUGCUCUAAAAUCUUCAACCAUACAAAUAUUGUGCCAUGCCUUGGGGUACCACCACUUCCAACCGAGAGGUUGUGAGUUCGAGUCUUCCCAAGAGCAAGGUGG